rnacentral:rRNA from 1 species
GAUGAACGCUGGCGGCGUGCCUAAUACAUGCAAGUCGAGCGAACAGACGAGGAGCUUGCUCCUCUGACGUUAGCGGCGGACGGGUGAGUAACACGUGGAUAACCUACCUAUAAGACUGGGAUAACUUCGGGAAACCGGAGCUAAUACCGGAUAAUAUAUUGAACCGCAUGGUUCAAUAGUGAAAGACGGUUUUGCUGUCACUUAUAGAUGGAUCCGCGCCGCAUUAGCUAGUUGGUAAGGUAACGGCUUACCAAGGCGACGAUGCGUAGCCGACCUGAGAGGGGGAUCGGCCACACUGGAACUGAGACACGGUCCAGACUCCUACGGGAGGCAGCAGUAGGGAAUCUGCCGCAAUGGGCGAAAGCCUGACGGAGCAACGCCGCGUGAGUGAUGAAGGUCUUCGGAUCGUAAAACUCUGUUAUUAGGGAAGAACAAAUGUGUAAGUAACUAUGCACGUCUUGACGGUACCUAAUCAGAAAGCCACGGCUAACUACGUG